rnacentral:rRNA from 1 species
GCAACGAGCGCAACCCUUAUCCCUAGUUGCCAUCAGGUAAGCUGGGAACUCUGGGGAGACUGCCGGUGAUAAACCGGAGGAAGGCGGGGAUGACGUCAAGUCCUCAUGGCCCUUACAUCCCGGGCUACACACGUGCUACAAUGGCAGGUACAGAGGGCUGCGAAGCCGCGAGGUGGAGCGAAUCCCAGAAAACCUGUCUCAGUCCGGAUUGAAGUCUGCAACUCGACUUCAUGAAGGCGGAAUCGCUAGUAACCGCGAAUCAGCAGGUCGCGGUGAAUACGUUCCCGGGCCUU